rnacentral:rRNA from 1 species
UGAGGAAUUUUGCGCAAUGGGAGCAAUCCUGACGCAGCAACGCCGCGUGGGUGAUGAAGGCCUUCGGGUCGUAAAGCCCUGUCAGGUGGGAAGAAUGUCCCGGGACUGAACAGGUUCCGGGAGUGACGGUACCACCAGAGGAAGCACCGGCUAACUCCGUGCCAGCAGCCGCGGUAACACGGAGGGAGCAAGCGUUAUUCGGAAUUACUGGGCGUAAAGCGCGUGUAGGCGGUCCUGCAAGUCGGAUGUGAAAGCCCCGGGCGUAACCCGGGAAGUGCAUUGGAGACUG